AGGGUUCCUCCCAUAUGAAUCAGAAUGUCUGGAUCAUAAUUCUUCAUAACACAUUUAAUACUCAAAUCAAAUAUGGAUUAAUUGUGAAUAAAUGUUGAGGAAACUGCAAUUCAGUGAGGUUUAAACAACUGUAUUCUUUAUUUUUUACCUGGAAGACAAUAGCCAGAGUAGUCAUUGUUUUAGUUAAAGUAUGAUUCUCAGAGAAGAUGCUUUGUCUUUCCCUUGGAGAUGAUGUGAGAAUUGUUUUCCACCCUGAAAAGAUGACAAGCAAACUACACCUUCUGCUGAUCCUGCUGGGCCUCUUUAGAGUGAAUGGCCAGAGCAUGGAGUCCAUUUCCUCCAAUCCUGUCCUGAAAAAGCCUGGAGAAACUGUCAACCUCUCCUGUAAAGGAUCUGGGUUUGAUUUUAGUAACUCUGGUAUGAAUAAGACAACUAGCAGGAAGAGAAUUGGAGUGGAUCGGGCUUAUCUACUAUGAUGCCAGCAAAACCAUCUAUGCUAAAAAUAUUGAAGGACGGAUAGAAAUCACCAGAGAUAAUAGUAACAGUAUGGUGUAUCUGAAGCUGUCUGGUCUGAGAGCAGAAGACUCUGCAGUUUAUUACUGUGCCAGGUAGACACAGAACU
ensembl:lncRNA